UGGGGAAUAUUGCACAAUGGGCGCAAGCCUGAUGCAGCCAUGCCGCGUGUGUGAAGAAGGCCUUCGGGUUGUAAAGCACUUUCAGCGAGGAGGAAGGUGGUGAACUUAAUACGUUCAUCAAUUGACGUUACUCGCAGAAGAAGCACCGGCUAACUCCGUGCCAGCAGCCGCGGUAAUACGGAGGGUGCAAGCGUUAAUCGGAAUUACUGGGCGUAAAGCGCACGCAGGCGGUUUGUUAAGUCAGAUGUGAAAUCCCCGGGCUCAACCUGGGAACUGCAUUUGAAACUGGCAAGCUAGAGUCUCGUAGAGGGGGGUAGAAUUCCAGGUGUAGCGGUGAAAUGCGUAGAGAUCUGGAGGAAUACCGGUGGCGAAGGCGGCCCCCUGGACGAAGACUGACGCUCAGGUGCGAAAGCGUGGGGAGCAAAACAGGAUUAGAUACCCUGGUAGUCCACGCUGUAAAACGAUGUCGAUUUUGGAGGUUGUGCCCUUGAGGCGUGGCUUCCGGAGCUAACGCGUUAAAUCGACCGCCUGGGGAGUACGGCCGCAAGGUUAAAACUUAAAAUG
rnacentral:rRNA from 1 species